UGAACGCUGGCGGCGUGCCUACUACAUGCAAGUCGAGCGAACAGACGAGGAGCUUGCUCCUCUGACGUUAGCGGCGGACGGGUGAGUAACACGUGGAUAACCUACCUAUAAGACUGGGAUAACUUCGGGAAACCGGAGCUAAUACCGGAUAAUAUAUUGAACCGCAUGGUUCAAUAGUGAAAGACGGUUUUGCUGUCACUUAUAGAUGGAUCCGCGCCGCAUUAGCUAGUUGGUAAGGUAACGGCUUACCAAGGCAACGAUGCGUAGCCGACCUGAGAGGGUGAUCGGCCACACUGGAACUGAGACACGGUCCAGACUCCUACGGGAGGCAGCAGUAGGGAAUCUUCCGCAAUGGGCGAAAGCCUGACGGAGCAACGCCGCGUGAGUGAUGAAGGUCUUCGGAUCGUAAAACUCUGUUAUUAGGGAAGAACAAAUGUGUAAGUAACUAUGCACGUCUUGACGGUACCUAAUCAGAAAGCCACGGCUAACUACGUU
rnacentral:rRNA from 1 species